UACGUAGGGUGCGAGCGUUGUCCGGAAUUAUUGGGCGUAAAGAGCUCGUAGGCGGCUUGUCGCGUCGGAUGUGAAAGCCCGGGGCUUAACUCCGGGUCUGCAUUCGAUACGGGCAGGCUAGAGUUCGGUAGGGGAGAUCGGAAUUCCUGGUGUAGCGGUGGAAUGCGCAGAUAUCAGGAGGAACACCGGUGGCGAAGGCGGGUCUCUGGGCCGUUACUGACGCUGAGGAGCGAAAAGCGUGGGGGAGCGAACAGG
rnacentral:rRNA from 1 species